AAGCUGUAUCUCUUCCUGGAAUACCCCGCCCCUAUACCUUGGUGGUCCUUGUGAUAAGAACAGAUUACGGUCAAAGCUGUACCUCUUCCUGGAAUACCCCGCCCCUAUACCAUUGGUGGAACUCCCCCACUCCCUCUUACUGUGUGUAUAACUACCCUGAGCUUGCCUUCAAUAAAUGAGACUUGAUCAGAAAGCCUGCCUUGUCUCCAUUUCCUGUGUCCCCUGCUCCCCUCCUUCUUUUACAGGUCUGGACCUCCGUUGAUGUCCCGCGGGACGGGACAUUUGGCACCCAACGUGGGGCCCGAGACCCCCUUAAAAGGAGUAAAGGUUUUUUGGUGUGUGCUCCUGUGAAAAAGACGACUGCAGUCACGAUACAUGAGAAUUGGUCGCUGCGGAUUUGCCUGAUCUGCGGAAUAGAGACCUGAGGAAAAGCUUGGAAAACGAUCACCCCUACGCUGGUGCCUCCUGGCUGUCCUGAGGGUCUGCCUUGCUGGUUUUGACACCCCGGCCGGCAACGAUCUCCUCGCCUCCCUUUUUGGGCCAUCCUGUGACUGCCGUGGAGGGUAUACACGGGUAACACUGCAGCGGUUCUCUUACUCCAACAACUGCAAUGAAUACACCGCCUAUCUCACCUAUCGACCAUCCAUCGGUGGGGGAUUUAAGCAACGGUGGGAGUGUGUUGCCAAACCCCGAGUCAUUCCCUCUCUGCCUGGGUCCCCUGGUCCCUGCCCCUCCCCCUGUCGCUACUAUCAAGCCAUUCAUUCCCUUUGCUAUAACAGCGUCCAGCAGUGUUCUUCUAAUAAUAAGGUUUAUUUGACGGCGGUUCUACAGCAAGCCUAUGCAGGAACCUUUGGUGGGGAAACCUCCGCCACUCUCCAGGGACAUACUAACAAAUAUGCCCAGGCGUCUUGUUCGUCUGCCAAUGUUGGCCACGAUGUCUGUUGGCCCGAACGUGCACCCCUACAUGUAUCAGACGGAGGGGGCCCUUCUGACAGAGCCAGAGAACAUGAGGUCCAGCAGCACAUUGAGGAACUCAUUCGGGCUCAAUUCCCCUCCCUCCAUUAUCAUCCUCUUGCGCAUCCCCGGCCUCACAGAUUGAGUCUCGAUGAUCAGACGUCUGUCA
rnacentral:lncRNA from 1 species